CCUACGGGAGGCAGCAGUGGGGAAUAUUGGACAAUGGGCGAAAGCCUGAUCCAGCCAUGCCGCGUGUGUGAAGAAGGCCUUCGGGUUGUAAAGCACUUUCAGUGGGGAAGAAAGCCUUGGGGCUAAUACCCUCGAGGAAGGACAGCACCCACAGAAGAAGCACCGGCUAACUCCGGGCCAGCAGCCGCGGUAAUACGGAGGGUGCGAGCGUUAAUCGGAAUUACUGGGCGUAAAGCGCGCGUAGGCGGUCUGAUAAGCCGGUUGUGAAAGCCCCGGGCUCAACCUGGGAACGGCAUCCGGAACUGUCAGGCUAGAGUGCAGGAGAGGAAGGUAGAAUUCCCGGUGUAGCGGUGAAAUGCGUAGAGAUCGGGAGGAAUACCAGUUGCGAAGGCGGCCUUCUGGACUGACACUGACGCUGAGGUGCGAAAGCGUGGGUAGCAAACAGGAUUAGAUACCCGAGUAGUC
rnacentral:rRNA from 1 species